rnacentral:rRNA from 1 species
UGAGCAAUCUGCCCUUCUCUUCGGAAUAAGCGUUGGAAACGACGUCUAAUGCCGAAUACGACCUCCUUUCGCAUGAUCGGAGGUGGAAAGCUCCGGCGGAGAAGGAUGAGCUCGCGGCCUAUCAGCUAGUUGGUGAGGUCAUGGCUCACCAAGGCGACGACGGGUAGCUGGUCCGAGAGGAUGACCAGCCACAUUGGGACUGAGACACGGCCCAGAUCCUACGGG